rnacentral:rRNA from 1 species
CAGCAUAAUGGAUAGCAUAUCUAUGGUGGCGACCGGCGCACGGGUGCGUAACGCGUAUGCAACCUACCUUUAACAGGGGGAUAACACUGAGAAAUUGGUACUAAUACCCCAUAAUAUCAUAGAAGGCAUCUUUUAUGGUUGAAAAUUCCGAUGGUUAGAGAUGGGCAUGCGUUGUAUUAGCUAGUUGGUGGGGUAACGGCUCACCAAGGCGACGAUACAUAGGGGGACUGAGAGGUUAACCCCCCACACUGGUACUGAGACACGGACCAGACUCCUACGGGAGGCAGCAGUGAGGAAUAUUGGUCAAUGGACGCAAGUCUGAACCAGCCAUGCCGCGUGCAGGAUGACGGCUCUAUGAGUUGUAAACUGCUUUUGUACGAGGGUAAACGCAGAUACGUGUAUCUGUCUGAAAGUAUCGUACGAAUAAGGAUCGGCUAACUCCGUGCCAGCAGCCGCGGUAAUACGGAGGAUUCAAGCGUUAUCCGGAUUUAUUGGGUUUAAAGGGUGCGUAGGCGGUUUGAUAAGUUAGAGGUGAAAUUUCGGGGCUCAACCCUGAACGUGCCUCUAAUACUGUUGAGCUAGAGAGUAGUUGCGGUAGGCGGAAUGUAUGGUGUAGCGGUGAAAUGCUUAGAGAUCAUACAGAACACCGAUUGC